AAUUAAUCCUAGGUUGAAGGGUGGGCUGAAUCCGAUUAUCUCUUGCUACCAUUUCUCGAACAUAUCGCCAUCUAAACCUUUGCUUGUCAAGCUCAUCAUCGCAGGCAGAAGCUAUUAUGUCUUCUACUAUUGGGAUUUCAUCCGCGGGAGAUAAGCUCUUCGGUAUCGAACAGGAUGGUCCUUUCUUAAAAAGCUCUUGCACGUACUCCGGGAGAUUUAUGUCCCCUAAAACUACCACAGUAUCCUGUAAUGGAAGGUCUGUUUUCCGAGGCGUUAUGUGGUUACGCCGAAAAAUCCAUCAUAAUUUCUGUAUGUAUUUCAUCCUUAAACUCGCCUGAAAGGAGGCUUUCCGUGCAGCAAAUAUACGCAACCAGGAUUCGGAUCCUUGCAUUUGUUUAAGUCUAUCGAGGGCGAUCGCCUCAAGGUUUCGAGUUUUAAAAUAUCUUCUUUUGGCGUCAGCAAUGGCGACACUGAGGCAUAUCUUCUUGGUGUUCUGCAGGACCUUAGCAGAGUGGAUAGGUAGUUUGAUGGCAUCAAUAGUUCUGGGAAAGACUCGGUUGAUUUUGCAUUCCUUCAGGAAAAGCAUUGUUUCAUGCGUUCUAAUGCACUUUAUAGUAACUUUCUGGCAUCGUUUGAUGAGUUGGCUCAACUCUGCAUGAUCCAUAUUUCAGUUAAACAACUGCUCUAUUUUCUAUAAACAAUUAUCACAGUAAUUAUCACUAAGCACUCC
rnacentral:lncRNA from 1 species